rnacentral:rRNA from 1 species
GACGAACGCUGGCGGCGUGCCUAAUACAUGCAAGUAGAACGCUGAAGGAGGAGCUUGCUUCUCUGGAUGAGUUGCGAACGGGUGAGUAACGCGUAGGUAACCUGCCUGGUAGCGGGGGAUAACUAUUGGAAACGAUAGCUAAUACCGCAUAACAGUAGAUAUCGCAUGAUAGCUGCUUGAAAGGUGCAAUUGUACCACUACCAGAUGGACCUGCGUUGUAUUAGCUAGUUGGUGGGGUAACGGCUCACCAAAGCAACGAUACAUAGCCGACCUGAGAGGGUGAUCGGCCACACUGGGACUGAGACACGGCCCAGACUCCUACGGGAGGCAGCAGUAGGGAAUCUUCGGCAAUGGACGGAAGUCUGACCGAGCAACGCCGCGUGAGUGAAGAAGGUUUUCGGAUCGUAAAGCUCUGUUGUAAGAGAAGAACGAGUGUGAGAGUGGAAAGUUCACACU